rnacentral:rRNA from 1 species
GACGAACGCUGGCGGCGUGCUUAAUACAUGCAAGUCGAACGGACAGGCCCUGCUCUUGUGGGGUGCUCGAGUGGCGAACGGGUGAGUAACACGUGAGUAACCUGCCCCUGACUUUGGGAUAACUUCAGGAAACUGGGGCUAAUAUCGGAUAGGAGCUCCUGCUGCACGGUGGGGGAUGGAAAGUUUCGGCGGUUGGGGCUGGACUCGCGGCUUAUCAGCUUGUUGGUGGGGUAGUGGCUUACCAAGGCUUUGACGGGUAGCCGGCCUGGGAGGGUGACCGGCCACAAGGGGACUAAGAUACGGCCCAGACGCCUACGGGAGGCAGCGGGGGGAAAUAUUGCGCAAUGAGCGGAAGCCUGAUGCAGCAACGCCGCGUGCGGGAUGACGUCCUACGGUUUAUAAACCACUUUCGCCUGUGACGAAGCGGGAGUGACGGUAAUGGGUAAAGAAGCACCGGCUAACUACGUG